AAGACCGGAUGGACAUAUGCACUCUAUUUUAAAGUUUACCACAAAGUAAACAGUGAGUAAUCUUCAUUGUACAGGCUGGCAGGUGUGGCACAUUUGUUGCUAAUGUGUCUCAAUGCAGCAAACAGAUGUGAGACAGGUCCUGCUUGGAGGAGUGCAUUGCAUUUACAGCUCAGAGUGAACGGUGCCAAAAUCUGCAUUCAGCAUGAGGUUCUCCAAUAGGGGGCCGCCAAGGUGUAUUCAGGUGCGUCUGGGCCUUACUGAGGAUAAUACACGCGGGGCGAAUGAUUAGGACUCCCACAACCCCCUGCGGAGCGCCUGUCUCAGAUUCGUCAUUCCCAGACAACCAUCUCUGCAGUGAACCGUGAGAGUUUUGUCGUAUGAAUUCAGGUCGAUCUUGUUUUGUGCACCUUACGGCUUUGACAGCUGCUCACCCAGAGGGAGGGAAAGACCCGCUUUCAUCCUUGGAUGUUCACCUGACCCUUUUCGUAAUGUAAU